rnacentral:rRNA from 1 species
UACGAAGGGGGCUAGCGUUGCUCGGAAUCACUGGGCGUAAAGCGCACGUAGGCGGAUUGCUAAGUCAGGGGUGAAAUCCUGGAGCUCAACUCCAGAACUGCCUUUGAUACUGGCGACCUUGAGUCCGGGAGAGGUGAGUGGAACUGCGAGUGUAGAGGUGAAAUUCGUAGAUAUUCGGAGGAACACCAGUGGCGAAGGCGGCUCACUGGUCCAUUACUGACGCUGAGGUGCGAAAGCGUGGGGAGCAAACAGG